UGGGCAACCUGCCCCAGACACUGGGAUAACUCCGGGGAAACUGGGACUAAUACCGGAUACUCUCAGCCGACCGCAUGACCGGCUGAGGAAAGCUCCGGCGGUCUGGGAUGGGCCCGCGGCCUAUCAGCUUGUUGGUGGGGUAACGGCCUACCAAGGCGACGACGGGUAGCUGGUCUGAGAGGACGGCCAGCCACACUGGGACUGAGACACGGCCCAGACUCCGUACGGGAG
rnacentral:rRNA from 1 species